CAGCUCUGAUGAUUCAGUAAGGACAUCUCCUGGUUUCAUCUUCAUGUUUCCCUCUCACCAGAUAUCGGUUUGGAUAUCUGGUGAGAGGGAAACUGUGUGCUGACUGUGUGUUGACCAGCACCUUUACGGCUGUGACUCCAGCAAACGUCAGCUGAUACUAGAAAGUAAUAUUAAAUAAAUUAUAACAACAGCUUAUCAAGCUUAAACGUGCUGCUGUUGUUUAGCGCGACAUCCUCUGGUUUCGUCUUUCUGGGGCAAAGUGGGGGAUAAACAAACGAGAAAAGCCGAUCAGCUGAUCUUUGAUCAGUUUCAUGAUUGAAGUAGCAACAGAAGAUGGAGGGGGAGAGAGUGAGAGAAGAAGAGGCAGCUAUGCAGCGUAAAGACACAGAAUAACUCCAGCUUUGUGUCUUUUGUUUUUUGUUUUUGUUUUCUGAAGUUCGGGACAAAUCGCGUUCCUUUACACCUAGGCCCUGUUUCAGAAAGCCGGUUUAGUGCAAACUCUGAGUAAGUAUACCCUGAGUUAACGAAAACUCUGGGUUUUCGGUUUCACAAAGCGAGUUUAGAUUAAUUCUGAGUGAGUUACUAUGACGACACACUCCGUGAAGCUAACCUGCCCCCUAGCAGGUUUACUUCAACUAACCCUGAACUUCUCCGCCUCUUUGUCGGAAACCUGACUGUAGGAAGUGUCAGACAUGGUGCCCCUUCCUUGAAGAGCCAGUAGAUGUUGAAGCCCAAAUUCUCCGCAGAGCUCUCCGCCGGGAGAGAGUGAUUAGAGCGCGUUUGGACAUUUUAUCAUGUCCUGAUGAUUUUCUGUGUGAACGUUACCGUUUUUCAGCACAAUCGAUAAUUUAUUUGAAUAACAUCCUCAGGCCUUAUAUUGCUCAUGUGACACAUCGCGGACAUUCUCUCAGUUCUGUACAUAUUAUUUGUAUUGCACUUCGUUUUUUUGCAAACGGGAGCUUUCUGUAUAAUAUUGGUGACGCUGAGCACGUUUCCAAGGCUACCGUCUGUCGGGCAGUCAGGAAUGUUACAGUUGCACUGAAACGUCUCCUGUACUCGUUUGUGGUGUUCCCCGGUCAUAGACCCACAAGAUUUAUCAAAGAGGGAUUCCACAAAAUUGCAGGGUUCCCAGGCGUGAUUGGCUGUAUAGAUGGCACUCACAUUCCAUUCUGCUGCUUGAAGUGUUCCAUUUCCAAAAAGCAUUUUUUUAUUUUCUUGAUCAAACAGGUCUUGUACAGCUGCUGUACAGGGAGCUAUUGAAACACAGAAAAUAGCAUUGACAUUCAUAGUACA